GAAUAUAGUUAUCUAUGGUUAAAUGUGUUAAUUGCAAAUUAAUCUCUUUAGGGUUCAAUUCCCUCUAUAUUCU
rnacentral:tRNA from 2 species